GGAGAGGUGGCAGAGUGGUUUAACGCGCACGCCUGGAAAGCGUGAAUGGGCUUAUACCCCAUCGGGGGUUCGAAUCCCCCCCUCUCCGCCA
rnacentral:tRNA from 1 species